rnacentral:lncRNA from 1 species
GUUGGGGGCUGUUCAGAGAUCUGGCCAGGAGGCGGGAGGCCCAGCUGGGGUGGUGGCCGCAGAGGUGGUGAGAAGAGUUCAGGGCUGGAUACGCUUCGACAGUGGCGGCCGGGGGACUUCCUGGUGAUGAGAUUCGGGUGUGGGGAAGAGACAGUGGAGCUGGGCAGCGGCUGCUGAGUGAGGUGGGGAAGCUGUGGAUCCACUUUCAGUGGCACAGUAAGGAAUCCUGCACCCUGCCUCUCGUCUGUCCUGUUCCUGGCCUGGACUUAAGGGCCUCUGGCAUUUAUUUCCAAUGUGUUAUGUCAUAGUCUCUUCCUGUGUUGCAAACCACAGGUCCACCCGCUGUCUACUCCUCACAGAACCAGCACAGUGAUAGGGCCGCCGCCUCUUCCUGUGUUGCAAACCACAGGUCCACCCGCUGUCUACUCCUCACAGAACCAGCACAGUGAUAGGGCCGCCGCCUCUUCCUGUGUUGCAAACCACAGGUCCACCCGCUGUCUACUCCUCACAGAACCAGCACAGUGAUAGGGCCGCCGCUGGCUACCACAGGGUGCCAUUUCCACCCCGGUGUCCCCUUCGCCCAGUCUUGGGCUGCAAGGGCUGAGAACUACGCUUCCAGGCCCUGUGGGCACCAGGAUGCCGCUGUCAUCCAGCCAGUGGGCUCGUCCUGUCUCGGGGCCUUGGGGUCUGCCGUUCCUGGCUGGCGCACCCCCUCUCCAGGCUGGGUCCUGAGUGUCCUUGUGUUACAGAGGCUCCCAACCUCCUUCUCCCCAAGGCUGUUCUUCUCCUGAAGCAAGCCUCUGACCACAGGGUCAGCUGACCCCCAGGGUUGGGUCUGGGCUUGGCAGGCAGCACCCUGGGUCGCUGUGGCUUGGGUUCCAUUCCCUUGGGCUAUUGCUCGAGCCCCAUGUCAUGGCCCUGAGCCCCGCUUUCCCGCCAGGCUCAAGACCAUCAGCCUGGUGAUCCGCGGCACGCAGGGGGCCGAGGAGGUGCUCAGGGCCCACGAGGAGCAGCUCAAGGAGGC